ACCCCGGUCCCCUGCUUGCUUUCUCUCUCUCUCUCUUUCUCAAAAUAAGUAAACAUUAAAAAAAUACCAGGGUAUGGCCCUCGUCCUUGCCCACCUCCUCACUCACACCAGCCUCUCGGCUCUUGGCGCUCUGACACUUAUCCCCGUGCCUCCCCUGCAGUGACUUGUGGCCUCCACGUUGUCCAGCACAUUUCUCAGCUCUUCACCUCACGUCCUUAGCACAUCUCUUCUCUGGGCCACCACCUUCUGGCUGCUCCUUUUCUAUUUCUUGGCAUCUCUUCCUUUGCUCCAAGUCCUAAAUACUGGCAUGCCCGAGUGUUCCAAACCAGGCCUACCACAUUCCCUGCACCGCUCCGUCCCCCCUGGGAAAUGUCAGCCACUGUAACCUUGGGGGGGAUGGCCAAGCCUCCACUCCAGCUCUGGCUUCUCUCCAGAAAGGCAUAGCCGACUGCCCGCUGGUGUCCUGGUGAGGACGUUUGCCCCACAGACUGAGGGCAUCCCCGGCGGAGUUCCUCAUGAGCUCUCCUCUCGGGCUGCCCCCUCACCAGGAGGUGAAAUUAGAGCGUCUUCGAGACUUCUCUGUCCUCUUCAUUCUCUAUUCCUCUGGCCCCACACUGGGCCCCAAGUCCUGUUGAUUCUACUUUGUGCCCAUCCCGGGUGGCCCCUUGUCCUCAGCGUCCCCCCACCACUGCCCCGCUUCAGGCCACCGUAUUCUCUGGCCCAUCUCCAGCCUUCGCCUCUUCUCCCCACUGCACGCAGAGUGAUCUUUCCCAAAUGCAAAUGUGAUCUGGUUAUAUCCCUUCCGUGGCUCCCUGUGGCUCUCCCAGUGAAACUCACUUCAAUCAAGCCCAUCAUGAUGUGGCCCCUGGCAGCUUCUCCAUCUCAGUCUCUCAUUGGGGAAUCUGGGAUCAGUUCACUACCCUCUCUUGCCAAUCUCCCACACUCGAUAUCCACAUGAACUAUGUGUAGACCCCCAUCACUCGAGGCUUUCCUGCCUCCAUGCCCUUGUAGAGCUGUUCCUUCUGUCUUCAACACCCUUCCUCUCUGGGCUUCCAGGUAGAUUACUAUUCAUACCCAAGCGCCUUUUCCCUUUGAUCCCCCGGAAGACACAGGUACCUCCUCUCUCACAGUCUCGCUGGAACCUCUGCAGGCAUCAAUGAAAGGUGUGGAGAGUCCCACAGAGUCUUGGACUAGAACUGGGGCUCCAGCUUCCUGGAUGAGUUCAGGAAUCAUCCCUCUUGGAGCCAGACGGUCCCUGGUCACAGCUUUAUGACCUUGGGCGAGUCUCUUCACCUUUCCAAACCUGUUUCCCCACUUGCAGCUGGAGGAUGGUAAUUGCCACAGACCCGCACGGAUUCCAAUAAGAGGCUGUGGAGGACCAUCCACGCUGGCCUGGUGGGUUCCAGGACUCUCAAAGGAGCACAGUGAGGCCACCUUCUCCACCCUCACGCCUACCCUGCUGGCUCUACCCACCCCGCCCAGCCUCUGCUCUGCGCCGCGCUGUCUCCUGCCCCUCUGGGUGGUCAGAUGCUAACACCUGCUGUGCCAAGAGCUGCUCUCCAUCUGCCUGUGUUCUGAGGUCCAGCCCCUCUGCUGUGCUGCGUUGCCCAAGCUGCCCACACGCAGACAGUGGCAUUUCUGCAACCACCCACUGUCACCCACGGCACCCACCUGCUCCUCUGUGCACGAAGUUAAAGAUCAACGUGGAACCUCCGCCCCCACCUGGUCGUUCCACAGCCUCCCCAUCUCUACGAAGGGGAUUCCCUCUUGCUUCCUGCUCAGGCCAAAGAGCUGUCUUCUUUCCCUCAGUCCUUCAGAAACCUUCUCAGCUCUCCCUUGCAAGUAUAUCCUGACCCUGAGCACUUCACUUGUAUCUGGUCGAGGGCACCAUCACCUUUGGCUCAAAUGACGGCAAUGGCCUUCUAAGUCACCUCCCUGCUUGUAACUUCUUUGAAAUGCGCCCCCCGCCCCGACCCCUGCCCAGUCCUCCUCACUUCCUUCCCUGUUCUGUUUUUCCUGGAGCACUCAGCACCAUCUAACCUGUGGUAUUCUUUGCUUAUUAAUUUUGGUUAGUGCCCGUCCCUGCCUUACUAGAACACGAGUGCCGCGAGGACAGGGAUAUGGGCCUGUGUUGCUCUCUGCCGUAGCUCUGGAACAGUGCCUGCUGCAUUGCAGGGCUGGGGAAAUGCUUCCCGAAGGCCUGCAUCCCGCUGCACGCACAGCUUGGGCGCAAGCUGUGUUUGCGGCACAAAUGAAACCCCUGACCCACAUUGGAUUCACUGGCUAAGAUUUAGGUCCUCACCUGCUCCAUGCACUGGGCUCAUUUCCUGCAUCAUCGUCAUGGUUACCAAAAGUCCAGAGUGGCCCUAGAUGUGGGUGGUGCAGUAAAGGGCUCGACCAGGGGCACCUGGGUGGCUCAGUCGGUUAAGUGUCUGACCUUGGCUCGAGUCAUGAUCUCACGCUUUGUGAAUUCCAGCUCUGCGUUGGGCUCUCUACUGUCAGCACAGAACCCGCGUCGGAUCCUCUGUCCCACUCUUUCUCUGCCCCUCCCCUCCCCCACUCGUGCGUGAACGCUGUCUCUCUCUUUCAAAAAUCAAUAAACAUUAAAAAAAAAAGGGGGGGCAUGACUAGUGCCACAGGGACACAGAUGGGGAGAGGUUGGGAUCACGUGGCGGCUAGGGACGCAAGGGACAGUACUGGGCAUACCCCUGAAUAGAGGGCAUAAUUCUCAACUGGACAGAGUCAGGGACACAGUAGACCAUGGUGGGGGACAGCAAGACAGGACGAGAGACAUAGUGGGGGCAGCCCUAGGGGACACAGUGGUGUUGACAGGGCUCUGGGGAGCCCUGUCUAGAGCUGCCCCUGGGCCUCCCGUCCCCUCCCCUCCUCAGGACUCUCAGAAUUCCCCACCCACCCACCCCUGCCUCACCCCGUCCAGGCGCUGCUCUGUGCUCUGCCGCUGCCACCGUCCGACGCGCCUUUGAAAUCUUAUCUCUCAUCUUGUUCUCUGUUUCCUCCCUGUCCAGGCCUCAUCUGUCUCCUGCCUCCCACCCACCCCCCACCUGCUUCCCAUCUGUGGCCCCUCCCCCUCUCCCUGCCCGCUGGCCACUGCCUCGUCCUGUCCUGUCCUGUCAGCCUGGCUGCGGCUCCAGCCCUUCCCUGCCUCUCCAGGGGAAGAUUUCAGAGCUGUGGGUGAGGACCCUGCCUGCUCCCUCCUGCAAGCCCUGAGCCCCCCUCCCCAGCCCCCUUCCUUGGUCCUCCUUCCCUCCACUGGCUCUGCCCCAGCCCUCGACCCCUCAAGGCUCCCCGGUGAACAGCUUGAGCUCCCCGAGGGCCGGAUCCCAGGGCCCCUUCUCCAGGUCUUCUGACCCUCUCAGAAAAGGCCGCCCUUCUCCUCCUUGAACUUGCCCAGCCCAGCCUUUGCCUGUAUCAUGCGAGUCACGGAUGCCUGCCGUUCUCUCUUCAGUCUGUGACCUCCUCUAGGGCAGGGAGAAUUCCACCUGCAGUGCCCCAGGUGCCCCGACUGUGUCCAGCUCCCUGCCCCUCACCAAAACCAGGAGUCUGUGGCUCUGCCCCUGUCCCAGGGGCCCCAGCUGCCUCCAGGAGCCUCUGUCCUAUGGAAUCAAACUCAGAGUGUAGACCCACCCAGCCUGCUUGGAUUAAGAUCCCAGCCCUACCACUUAGUAGCUGAGUGAUUGCAGGCAGGUUCCUUCUCUCUGGGUGUCAGUGCUGUACCUGUAAAUUGCCAAGGAGGGUGAUGAGGGUGCCUCUCUUGGGGUUGUUGUGAGAAUUAUAUGAGUUAAUGUCUGUAAGAACCAGCAGCAGGACCCAGCACACAGUAAGUGCUCAAUAAAUAGCCCUCCUUGCUCCUAGGUGCCACAGUGGCAGCAAAACUAUAGUAGCAAAUCACGUACUUGAACAUGAGGAUAAUGUCACUGGAUGUCAGUGGUGGUAACUGUUAUCAGCCUUUUCAGUUGCCGUGAUCCCAUCCCUCCUGAAUGCUUUAUGGACUCAAUCUCUUUGGAGUCCUCUCAACACACUUGGAGGUAUGGGCUCCUGCUCCCGUCUUCCAGAUGAGCAGCCAAGACAGAGGGCAGAGAAGCCACCCAAGUCCCACCUCAAGUCUGCAGGAGAUUGUCCUCCUCUGAAGUGUAUCACUGGCUGACACCUCAAUGACUGCACAGCACAGGCCUGCCUGGGUGGGCAGUGAGCUCCCGGGCAUGAGCCUGCCGCUGCCUCGAACCUUCCAUGGCUCUCGCUGUCCGUGGGGAUCGGCCAGGUGCCUUAGUCAAAGGACAGCUCUGAAGCCCCUUCCUGGCUGUGGGACCCUGAGCAAGUGCGUAUCUACUCUGAGCCUCAGUUUCCUCACCUGGAACACGUGGAAAAUAUUCUUACCUUACAGGUUUGCCCAGAACCGAGGGAUUUCCUGGGAUGCAGGACUUUGCGUGCUAGAAUCCGGAAAGGUCCAGACACACCAGGAUGAGCCGGUCACUUAGGGGGUUGUCGUGAGGAUGAAAAGUGCCUCACAUGCUGCUCGUAAAGGAGCACGGAGACCUGGGGCCUGGGCGGCUCGGUCGGUUAAGCGUCCGACUUUGGCUCAGGUCCUGAUCUCCCUCAUGGUCUGUGAGUUCGAGCUCCGUGUCGGGCUCUGUGCUGACAGCCUGGAGCCUGCUUCUGAUUCUGUGUCUCCCUGUCUCUCUGCCCCUCCCCUGCUUGCACUCUCUUUAAAAAAUGAAUAAAUGUUAAAAAAAAAUUGAAAAAAGGAAAGAAGCACGGAUAGCUGGGGCCUGUGUGCACUGUACUUCACGGUUUGUGUCACCUUUAACUCUGUACUUCACAAGCUUCCCAGUGAUCCUGCUCAUUCCCCGCCCCCCCCCCCCCCCCACUUUAGAGAUAAGAAAACUUGAGGCCGGAGAGAAGAGGCAGCAUAUCCAGGGUCGGACGGGGUGGCUUAGAGUUAAUGACCAGGUUGCAUGGAUACAGCAAGUCACCCCUGCAUCUGGAGGGUGGCACUGUGUGGGGGAGAGUCCUACUCAACAGGUGGUGUUUCCCUGAGUCGUGGAGGUGGGAGCCCAGCCAGCCGUGGGGGAGGUCCUUCCUUCUUCUCCUGCCGUCUCACCUCAGGGUGGUGAAGCCCCAAGGGUAGUGCAGGUGACCUACUCUGGAGGAGGGCCAGAAACUCAGCCUCCCGCUGACAGCCUUGUCCCCAGACUCUCACCCAAGCCCCUGUGCUGCCACUGUCCUGCGUGUCCUUGGGCUGUAAGUGGUGAAUCAUCACAGUACCUACAGAGCAGGGGGUGUUGUUGGUUUUUUUAAAGGAAUUCACUGAAGUAAUUUACCAAAGAGCUUAGCAGAGUUCCUUAGUAGGUGCAUAACAAGUGUUAACUGACAAUCGGAUUAUAAUGGAUAAGAAUAACGCAAUUCACAAAAUGUUUUCCCCUCCAGGAUCGCACUGAAUGCACCCAACAGCACUGAUUUGAGACGUGGCUGUGAUUCUCCCCAUAUUCCAGAUGAGGAAAUUGAGUCUUGGGUCAGGGGAGGAAGUUGCCCAGAGCUGCUCAGGAAGUGGGGGCGGGGCUGAGGAGCCAGGCCGAUGGGACCAGAGAAGCCGCAGAGCUCUACCCCGUGUCCCACCCCAUGUCCCUCUGCCUGACUGCCUCCCAGCCUGUCACCCUCCUGACCCUGCCCCAGAAUGGACUUUGCCCUUCUGGCUCCACUGAGGGCCCACUGGCUCUAUUCCCCGCCUUUUGCCUUUUUGUUUUCUUCUUUUCAUUGUGCUUAUCACCAGCGGAAAUCAAACUGUUGGUUUUCUUGCUUAUUAUCCAUUUCUCCCACAAAAAUUGCAGUUCCAAGAGGGCAGGGACUUUGUUUUUUUUUUUCACCGUGAGGUCCCUAGUGCCUGCACAGAGCCUGCCCUCUGUAAACUGUCAAAUGAUUUGAUUAUCUUCUUAUUAGAACAAAUGAAAAUCGGUGUCCAGCAAUGCCACUUGUGGUGCAGUGCCUGAUUCAUGCCAGCAGAUGGCAGCAGAGAACAAGGUACCUGAUGGGUGGAGCCCAGGUGAAGUUCAUAGGUUUGACUUAGAGAGAGAGAGAGAGAGAGAGAGAGAGUGUGUUUUGCAUGUACCAUCUUCUGCCUCCUCCCUCUAACCAUUCUUCAGGCCUGCAGAUCCCACCCCGAUAGAAGGAGACCUUUUACAAUAAUGUAUAAUAACAGCUAUCAUUAAGUACAGGAGCAGAUUAUGCUAGGCACCAUAUAUGCAUUGUCUCAUCGGACUCUUCACAAUAGCCCUAUUAACCUUACUCUGCAACCAAGGAAACUGGGGUGCAAUAACAUGCCCCAGGUUACAUAGCCAGUGGACUGUUAGCCAGGACUAGUAGCCAGGACUAUUAGACCGGGAUCAUUCCUUCAACCACUGUGAGGUAAGCUCUCUGGGCUUCAGCUACCCGUUAGCAGACUCGAGGCCACCCCAGGAGGACAAGGGCCACCCUUGUCUCUGGAGGUGUGCAAGCCGUGCCAGAUAAAAAUCCAGAGAGGGUGUGGGGCAUCAGAUGUCCAAAGCCACUCCCGGCCAGGUACGGCUGGGUAUAUCAUUUUCAAAACGCAGCACAAAAUGAAAAUGUGGGGCCUUGGCUCAAAAGUUAUUACGAGUUUCAAGGCAGCAACAGCAGAACAUUAAGCCAAGCAUGAGGCCCUUCUCAGUACAAGGUUCUGCGUGACUGUACAGGCCACGUGUCCUCUGGGUCUGGGGAAGACGUGGGUCAGAGGCCCCUGGGACCAUCACCAGUCCAGCUCUGCAGGAGCUCAGGGAAGAAGUCCCCCUCAGCACAUUGCUUCUCAUAAGACGGACCCUGCAUCCCAGCACCUCUUAUCUUCCUUCCCUAGCGGUGAUUUAUCUCCGUGUGAAGGGCUGGGGCAGCCUUGGAGGCACUCCCAUUGAUGGUUCAUGAAUCUUUCUUUUGCGGAUCCUCCGGCCACUCUCUGCAUGGCCCGGCAGACCCACCGCUUCCUUUCUGCCAAGUGAAGAUUAGAAAACCAUAAAACAAGGAACCCAAACCCCUGGCCGAGGGAGCACACACAUGGGCGUCAGAUGCGUUAGCUGGCUGGCAGGGGAUGGAUGGGGCUGUAGGUCCCCAGAGGGAGAGCCCUUUCCUUGGGGCCACCGUUUCCAGUCCCCUGUCCAAUGUGGAGGGGACUUCCUAGCCACACCUGGUGCCAGAUCUGUUCAGGGCUACCCCCAGAGGGAGAGAUCUCGGUUGAAGCCGGAGCUAGAGGUGGUCCCGGUGUGGGUCAGGGAGUGAGGAUGCUCAGGCUGAGCUGAGUGUGAGGGCCCUGGUCAAGUUCAGGUGGGAAGAACUGAGUACUUACUACGUGCUGGGCACUUAAUACAUAUUGUUCUCAUUUCUCAAAGGAUUGCUCCCAUCUGAACAGUGUAGACGAAGAACCUGGGGCUCAGAGAGGUGAGACCACUUGCUAGGGUCACACAGCCAGGAAGUGAUGGGUUUAGGAAUUGAAUCCAGGUGAAUGGAUAGCAAAGCUUUGUCCCAAAGAGAAGUUUUUAGGGGCACCUGGGCAGCUCAGUCUGUUGAGUGUCCAGCUCUUGAUUUUGUCUCAGGUCGUAAUCUCACAGUUCAAGCCUUGCAUCAGGCUCUCUGCUAUGAGCACAGAGCCUGCUUGGGAUUCUCUCCCUCCCUCUCUGAUCCUCCCCCACUCAUGGUCUCUCUGUCCCUCUCCUUCUCUCUCAAAAUAAAUGAAUAAGCAUUGAAAAAGAGAAAAUUCUAAAUCAUAAUAUUUGAAAAGCACAUUACUUAUUUCUUGAAUGUCAUCUAUUUUUAAAAAAUUCAUAGGUGUAAAAGGCAUGUGGAACAAAAUUCAGAAGUUUGAGUUUUCUUCUCUCUUCCCUUGUUUCGCUUUGCCUUCCUACUUUCAGUUCUUUUGAGUAUAUUUAUUCCCAGAAUGAAAUUGCUCGAUCAUGUAGUUUCACUUCAUUCUUUUGCAAGCAGAUAUCUAGUUUUCUUUCCACUAUUUGUUGAAGAGUGUCUUUUCCCCAUUGACUUGUCUUGGCAUUCUUGUCAAAAGUCAUUUGACCAUACACAUGAGGGUUUAUUUAUGGACCCUCUGUUCUACCUCAUUGGCUUUUGUGCCAGUACCACAUGGUUUUGAUUAAUUGAUUAAACUAAGUUUUGAAAUCAGGAAGUGUGAAUCCAACUUUGUUCUUUUUCAGGAUUGUUUUGGCUAUUUGCUGUCCCUUGAGAUACCAUAUGAAUUUUAGUUUGGGGGAUGAGUUUUUCUGUGUCUGAAAAAAAGUUGUUGGGAUGGCAGUAAGAAUGUAGAUUGUCUUGCGUGGUAUUGAUAUCUUAGAAAUAUUAGUUAUUCUUAUCCAUGAACAUGGGAUGUCUUUCCAUCUAUUUGUCAUCUUUAAUUUAUUUUCAGAAAUGUUUUGUAGUUUUUGUUGUACAAGUUUUUAACCUUCUUAGUUAAUUCCUAAAUAUUUUAUUCUUUUAUUAAUACUUUUGUAAAUGGAAUUGCUUUCUUAAUUUCCUUUUUA